UGAUUAGUGAAGAGUAUAGACAAAAGUGAUAUUCCGCAAUUUUAUGUGAUUUAUUUAAGUGAUUUAUCUAAAGUGAUCUAAAUUGAAAUUAUAGAUAUGUGACUUAUGGAACACAUUGAACUUGAGAUUAUUUUAUUUGCCGAUACUUUGGUCAAUAUUUCAGUGGCUGAAGUCUUUUCUCUUCUGUGUGAAUGGGGGUUUCAAUUGGAAAUUACGCAGAGAUUUCUUGUCUGCCCGUUAUUCUAUCUAAGACACGAAAGGGAAAAUGAAUCUUGGAUGGAUAUAAAGAGUCUCAAAAAUUCAGUGACAGCGAUCGAGAUGUCCUAAUUACUUGCAUCUCUGAGUACUAGUUGGAGGGUGAUAUAAAUUUAGGACAAAGGGACUUCAAGUUGUUGGCUGAAAGCAUUUUCCAGCAUUUUCCAACCGAAAUUGAGGUAAUUACUCAAACACAAUUUUUUGUGGUCAUCUGAGAUGCAAAUUUUCGUACACUGCGGACGAAUAAAAGUAAUAUUCAAUAAACAUUAUCAAUCAUAUGAAAUUACGGGAACUGACGAAAAAGACUUUGUUUUAAAUAUCAAAAGAUUCAAAAGGCUGCCGAUAAAAAAAUCAUGCUUCCUGACUUUAAAAAUUAUCUUAGAGUUAAAUUUAUUUAAAAUAAAUAUUCUUGUAAAUUAUGAAGAAGUCUAAAAUCCAAAAUAUUCUCACAGCUGUAUAGAAUAUCAGCAUUAAAAUAUCAUAAAAAAUGAUGUAUAAAAUAUCACAAAAAUAUCAUCACGACUGUAUAAAAGAUUUAUCAAAAUAUCGCAAAUGUAUAAACACAAAACAAAAAUGACUGAGGUACAAAAUAUGACGGAAAUAAAGCAAGAACUGUGAUGGUAAGAUUGCAAAUAUGAACUUUGAAAAACUAUAAUGGAAAUGUAAAUAUAUUUUAAGUAUAAAUAAUGUGAUCGAAUAUGUGAUCGAAAAAAUAAUAAUUAAAAGAAAGUCAUAUCAUAUUUAAUGUAAUUAUUAUUGUAAAAAUCCUUACAUUAAAAAUAAUUAUCAGAUAUACAAA